rnacentral:lncRNA from 1 species
GCAGAGAACUUUCUCCUGGUGUCCAAAUCCCUCCUGCUGACUUGUGCCAAUUUGGCUGAGGCCUGGCUAUUCCUGCUAGGUUGUACCACUGCUGCUGCUAUCCCGACCCUACUGAACUGGACUGCUGGUACAUCUGUGAAGUAUUUCUGAGUGGAUCGAGCUGCCACUGCUGACCUGUGAACUGCUGAUUUCCUGACAACGCAGAUGGGACUUGCUCCAAAGAACAAUUUCUAAACAGGUCUACCUCCCCCAUUUCUUGUAGGGAUGUCACCAGGCUCCUGAGCUCUCAAUUACCAUCGCCCUGGUAUCUGGAAGCAUUUGGAGCCUUCCUCCAGCACCAUCCAAACCAGAUGCCUUGGGCAGCAUUAACGAAGUGUUGAUGCUUGAACAUCAGGAACCAGUUUCCUGCUUGAGAGAGGGAAUGGAUUGCAGCUGUCCCUGCCUCCUGUGAGUAUAGGACCCUGCAAGGUAGCCUUGGGGAAAGUGACAUGGCUCUGAUUCUGGGAGAAAUGGCUAGAGCUGGGGUUCCAGUGCAGGACCCUAUGGGGAAAGGUGUGACCGUUCCUUGGUGGUUACAUGUGACAGCACACUUCCUCUGGCGCACUUGUGAAUAACAACCAGGCUCUUGUAUGAGGUGACCAGUGUUCCAAGAUCAUCUGGGAGUUCAGCAUGAGAGCGUGCUUGGUGUCUCCAUUUCCUGUCUGCUGCUGUGACAAACGCUAUAGCCAAAACUACUUAGGGGAGAAGAUGGCUCACGCGGUUUUCAUUUCCAAGCCACUGUCCAUCAUUGAAGGAAGUCAAAGCAGGAGCUCAAGGCAGUCCUGCUUGCUACCCACACACCUCCAACCAAUGGACUCACUUGAUAGCCAAAGUAGUGUGGUGGGAACCACGGAGGAGCUGCUGGCUAGGUUUCUUAUAUAGCGCAGAAUCACCUGUCUAGGGAAUGUUGCUACCCAUAGUAGGCUGUGCCCUCCUUUGUCAGUUAGCAUUUGAGACAAUCCUCCACAGACAGGCCCACAGGCUAGUCUGAUCUGGACUACCUCUCAACUGUGACUCCCUUCUCAGUGACUUUAGGUUGUGUUACACUGACAGUUGCAUAGCUAAUGAAGGGACAGGUAGAGAAUGGAGCAACACAGGGCCAUUGCAGCUGCUAGGCUCUAAAAGGAAUUGGAGGAUUUCUCCCUGGCUCCUUUGGAGGGAAUCAACUCUGCUGAUACCUUGAUCUUGAUUUUUGUGUCCAACACCAUGUGACAUUGAAAAUUUGUUAUUUCUAGCCUCGGGUUUGAGGUCAUCUGUGCCCAAUGCCUGCAUUAUUCUGACAAGAGACCUCCACCUGGAGGACUCCAGCUGUCUGCCAGAUGACUGGGCCACAGCUCGUGAGCUCCCACCUGCCUCAGGGAGCCCACCAUCUUAUGCCUUUUCUACUUGAAAUGUCUCAUCGAGAUGGUGAUCAUGUGACCAGCUUAGCCAAUCAGAGGCUCACCAGAGCUUUGCCUGGAGGUGAAGAAACAGGAGCCAUGGGUCCUGGAGGAGAUGCUGCCAUCAGUGGGCAGUGCCCAAAAGGCUUUCAUGGGCCCAAUAGCCAGAUAUGCCUAGGUCCUAGGCCACCAGGAGCCACCACAUGGUUUCUGUUCCCUUCCUGCUUCCUAAGUGUGUUGGGGCUGGAGAGAUGGAUCACUGGUUUAAAUCACUGAUUGUUCUUGCAGAGGUUCAAUUCCUAGCACCCAUAUCAUGGCUCAUAACCAUCUAUAAUAACUCCAGUUCCAAGGGAUCUAAUAUACUCUUAGACCCUCUACAGCAACAAGCAUACACAUGAUACACAGACAUGUAUACAGGCAGACACUUACACAUAAAAUAAAAUAAACUUUUUUUAAAAAAAAGAGAUAAAGAUAUAACAUUUUUUAAAGGCUAAAAAAAUAUGGUUUUAUCUGUAAGCAUCCCCUGAUGCUGCCCUUACCUGGGCUUUGUCCACCCAUGAUAGAUACAGAGGUCUGUAUAUGACCUAUUUUGUGUACCUUGCAGUCCCCAGAAAGUGUACCAUUGCCACCACCAGAGGAGGGGGACUGAGGAGACCCACCCAGGGUGUGUAUCCCAGGCGUUGUUGGGUGGAUCCAGUCCCUGAUGAUGGCUGCCCCCUUCCCCUGUUGCCUCCAGCCUGCCUCCUCCUUCUAUACCCUUCAGGAACAGAAGUUCUGAGCAUGACCAUUGUGAGGACUGGGGGUGCCAUGGAGAUGGAACAAAGAUGGGAUAGGAUGGAGAUGUGAUGAAGAUGGGUGGGAUGAGAUGAAGAUGAUAGAGAUGGGAUGGGGAUGAUGGAGAUGGGAUGGGGAUGAUGGAGAUGGGAUGGGGAUGAUGGAGAUGGGAUAGGGAUGAUGGAGAUGGAAUGAGGAUGAUGGAGAUGGAAUGGGAUGAUGGAGAUGGAAUGGGGAUGAUGGAGAUGGAAUGGGGAUGAUAGAGAUGGGAUGGAGAUGAUGGAGAUGGGAUGGGGAUGAUGAAGAUGGGUGGAGAUGAUAGAGAUGGGAUGGAGAUGAUGGAGAUAGGAUGGAGAUGGGAUGGGGAUGAUGGAGAUGGGAUGGGGAUGGAUGAUGGAGAUGGGAUGGGAUGAUGGAGAUGAGAUGGGAUGGGGAUGAUGGAGAUGAAUGGGAUGAUGGAGAUGGAAUGGGGAUGAUGGAGAUGGAAUGGGGAUGAUAGAGAUGGGAUGGAGAUGAUGGAGAUGGGAUGGGGAUGAUGAAGAUGGGUGGAGAUGAUAGAGAUGGGAUGGAGAUGAUGGAGAUAGGAUGGAGAUGGGAUGGGGAUGAUGGAGAUGGGAUGGGGAUGGAUGAUGGAGAUGGGAUGGGAUGAUGGAGAUGAGAUGGGAUGGGGAUGAUGGAGAUGAAAUGAAGAUGGGAUGGGGUGAUGGAGAUGAGAUGGUGUACUGGCUGGUUUUGUGUGUCAACUUGACACAAGCUGGAGUUAUCACAGAGAAAGGAGUUUCAGUUGGGGAAGUGCUUCCAUGAGAUCCAGCUGUGGGGCAUUUUCUCAAUUAGUGAUCAAGGGGGAAGGGGCCCUUGUGGGACCAUCCCUGUGCUGGUGGUCUUGAGUUCAAUAAGAGAGCAGGCUGAGCAAGCCAGGGAAGCAAGCCAGUAAAGAACAUCCCUCCAUGGCCUCUGCAUCAGCUCCUGCUUCCUGACCUGCUUGAGUUCCAGUCCUGACUUCC